AAUUCUCAACCCUGGAAAGCUUUUUGUUCUCCAUGGCUUGGAUGUGGGGGUUGCAGGCUUUUCGAAGUCGGCUCCUCUGAAAUGCAUUAGCUGGGUCUGCGCCUUCAGCCUAUUGGUGUGAUAAUUAUCUACGCCUCUUGUGUUGUUAGCGUGUUAUACUUUCCAGCUGCUAACCGUCCUUCAAUGGACAAUUUUGACU
rnacentral:misc_RNA from 1 species